rnacentral:rRNA from 1 species
UGGGGAAUUUUGGACAAUGGGCGAAAGCCUGAUCCAGCAAUGCCGCGUGUGUGAAGAAGGCCUUCGGGUUGUAAAGCACUUUUGUCCGGAAAGAAAUCCUUGGCUCUAAUACAGUCGGGGGAUGACGGUACCGGAAGAAUAAGCACCGGCUAACUACGUGCCAGCAGCCGCGGUAAUACGUAGGGUACAAGCGUUAAUCGGAAUUACUGGGCGUAAAGCGUGCGCAGGCGGUUUGCUAAGACCGAUGUGAAAUCCCCGGGCUCAACCUGGGAACUGCAUUGGUGACUGGCAGGCUAGAGUAUGGCAGAGGGGGGUAGAAUUCCACGUGUAGCAGUGAAAUGCGUAGAGAUGUGGAGGAAUACCGAUGGCGAAGGCAGCCCCCUGGGCCAAUACUGACGCUCAUGCACGAAAGCGUGGGGAGCAAACAGGAUUAGAUACCCUGGUAGUCCACGCCCUAAACGAUGUCAACUAGUUGUUGGGGAUUCAUUCCUUAGUAACGUAGCUAACGCGUGAAGUUGACCGCCUGGGGAGUACGGUCGCAAGAUUAAAACUCAAAUGAAUUGACGGGGUCAUAGCUGUUUCCU